AAGGAAGGAAGAAGCGCCAUAGGUUACUGCUGCUACUAUGGCACGAGGAACCUCAAGCUAAAAGGCCUCGUCCUGAGGAGCCUACUUCCCCAAUUAUUAAUUAGGCUAACCCCAUCGAUGUUGGUCUCCUCCUCUGGCUGUCAGGCCUUCAACUCAACCACUUACAUCGACUACCUCUGGCUGGGUGGCUCUUCUGGCCAGUAAAUGUCGAGAGGUGCCAAAGAGCUAACUCAAUCCCUCAAAAGAAUCUGAUCUAUAAAAGGUAACAUAGAUUUGGUGAAGGUUACUACAGCUUCACUUAGUCUCCUUGAAGACCUUCUCUCCGAAAUGCUAAAGCGAUAUCCUAGCGAGGACUUUACCUGGCUCAAAAAGCUCACCCCAAAUGCUAGUGCUGAGAGUGAUGGAUAGGAUGGUUAGGUUAGGGGAAUUCAAAAUGUAAGUGUUGUUGAUGCAGCUGUUGGAG
rnacentral:misc_RNA from 1 species